rnacentral:rRNA from 1 species
UAAGAAUUUAAAAGUCGAACAGACUUAUUAUUAAGAAUACUACCCCUUAAAAUUUUCUUAAUUCAACAUCGAGGUCGCAAAAUAUAAUAUAGAUAUGAACUCCCCAUUAAAAUCACGCUGUUAUCCCUAAGGUAACUUAAUCUUGAUGUCCUCUUCUAUUGGGAUCUAAAAUUACAUAAAUAAAUGAGUUCCAAAACUAAAGUUAACUAUUUAAUUACCACCCCAGCAAAAUAUAAAGUGAAUAUCUAAAAGUAUAUAAAAUAAAACUUAAUAAUAUAAAAUCAUAUAAAGUUCUAUAGGGUCUUAUCGUCCCAAUAAAUUGUUAAAGCAUUUUAACUUUAAAUUUAAAUUUUAAUAUUUAAAGAAAUAAAAUAUAAUUCUCAUAAAUCCAUUCAUACAAGCUUUCAAUUAAAAAACUAAUUACUAUGCUACCUUUGCACAGUCAAAAUACUGCAGCCAUUUAGAAGUUUAACCAUAGGGCAGGAGAUACUUUUUAUAAAACCA